GAUAUAAAGAUUAUAGAGGAGCCAUAAUAUCAUCUAUGGUCGCGGGAGGCGGCCCUGAUAACGGAGUUGUGCCCUACGCUCCUCGCCCGCCACACGUCAUAGAAAUAACGGCCACCACAGCUGUUCAUUGUCAAUGUGUGGGGAGGAACUCAACUGCAGAUGCCAGUUUAAACCGAAAAUGCUGGAGUAACUCAGCGGGAAAGGCAGUAUCUAUGGAGGGAAGGAAUGGGUGAAGUUUCGGAUCGAGACCCUUCCCCAGCUUUUUGAGUCUAUGCUCAUAGUCAAUCAAUGUACUGAUGUAAAUAACCACUUUUCUGCGAGGAUUUUUUGCUGCAUACCCUUGUACCUACCAGCCAUGUUGGCAGCAUUGUUAUAAGACUGCCCUCGGAAGAAGAGCUCCAAAUCGCGGCAGGCGCGGAACUCAUUGAGUGAGACUGCUUCAAUCUGGUUGAAGUGCCAUGCAAUUGUUAGAUUUUCUGGAACACUUCAUGAGUCCACUAUAGUUUGCACCCCAUUGGACCUUCUUCUUAUGCAGACUCGGGUUCAAGGUGAUUGUUUUUACUCUGGUUCUGCGGGUUCUGAGGUGAUUGAUUAAAGCCACAUGUAGGAUCCAAAUCUUUGCCACUAGUAGAGAACAAGGUGUUUCAUGAGGUGGACGGUUUAUGGAAGAGGUGUCCUCCCUAUGUCACGUCAUCCAAAAAAGGCUUCCCAAAAGGUUCUAGGUUCCCAGUGCUAUUCGAGAUGCACCUUCUUUAUUUUGAGCAAUAAUGGGCCAAGAAUUUCCUCAAGUAACUUUUUUUAAGGCAGCUUUGAGAGUAUCCUUGAAUUAUUUCCUUGCCUUCCUGGUAAUCUCUUUUUGUGAUAGAUCUUGGAAUAGAUUAUCUAUUACAGGAGUCCAGUCCCAGGUUUGUAAAUAAUGUGGUGUGACCAUUGGAGCCAGCAGGAUGUGAUUAGGUUUGGCCUGGGAAGAAUGCAGGCAUUGCUUCUCUUACCCUACCAGUGAAUGUGGUGGAUUCUAUGGAGAUAACAUUGGUGCUACUUCCCAGUGGAUUACAAUGUCUGCUGUAGUUAGUCUUUGUCCUUGAAAUGUACAGGCAAGUGAGGAUCAUUGGUGUUCAGUAGAUCAUGUGCUCUCUGCUGAUUUAAGAUAUUUUCGUUGGUACACUGGGCAUGGUGAUUAAUUUUGCUCGCGAUGCUUGACUCAUUGAGAGGAGGCCCCUGGAUUACAUUUCUUCCAGGACUUCUUCAUGAAUCUUCUAUUGUCUUAGGUUUGUUGGUAGAAUAUUUCCAUUUUGUUGAUGUGUGAUCCAAGGCCAAUUAUUUUGCCCACUUCAUUGAUUGCAGAGCAACGAGUUGGUGCUUGGCCACUGCCAACAGGCAAACCCCACCUGCACACUGAAAAUUGGGUAACCAUGGCUCUGGAGUGAGACAACAUGGGUUGAACGAUUUCCCAUUCAUCUUGUAGUUUAACUCUAAUCCAGCAGGUAGCAAAGGGUGCAAUAUUGUAGCACAAAAGAUAGUGUAAACAGUUUAAGCAAUCACACAGCAUUGAACCUGUCAUUAACUGGGAUUAGAAUUGUGUUGGAGUCAUGGAUUAGAAUAAUGGUUUGCAAGCCACCAGUUAGCAAAAGUUUAAUGCAGGUGAAUUUCUAAGAGCAGCUAAUAUGGAGCAGCAUUUUCCAAAAUCUCUUCCGAUUUAAAGAAUGAAAGUUUUAUAAAGCCAAUAAAGGACAUGUCUCGUUCUUGCUGCAAUUUUUUUUUCCUAUGUUAUUUGGUGUCAUCAUUUAUUUCCAUAUGGACCAAGGCCCCGUGAUCGAGAUGGAGGAGGGCAAGGGGUGGGAGUUAAUCUUUCUCCACUUAGUUUAAAGAUAGAUGUAUUGGGAGUACAUAAUCAAGGAGGACUUUUGCAAUGAAUUCCCCUGCAAUUAUCACAGCCAGAUUUACCUCUGUUCUUGAAGUUGGUUAUGGCAACAAUGUGUCUCUGAGGCUUCCUCUUACAUUCUCCACUUCCCAAGUGCAGCUGUGAAUUUGUGACCCGUUCCUCUCUGUCAAAUAUGAAAACUCGCGGGUCCGGGGGGAGAGACCGCUUCCUGGAGCUCCCGCAACGCGACUUCUCCAGCCCGUGUCGCGGGGUUGGAACGACCCGGAGCGGGGACGUACAUAGCCCGGCGUGGCUUCAUGGCCGUGGGACAUUCCAGCGCCCGCCGGGGGCUCCAACAUUGUGACUUUUAGACGGGAGCGGGGCCGUAAAUCGCCUGGCACGGCCUAAAAUGGCCGUGGGACUUAUCGCCCACCUGAGGCUUGGACAUCGGGAGAGACAUGGAGAACAGGGGAGAGAAAAGACUUUGCCUUCCAUCACAGUGGGUUCACUGUGAUGGAUGUUUGUGUGAAUUAAAUUGUGUGUAUGUCUAGGAAAUUGUCUUUGUAUGACUGUGGAAACGGAAUUUUGUUUGAGCCUCACUGAGGCUCAAAUUACAAUAAAUAUUGUAUUGUAUAACUUCAGCAGGAUUAAAUGGAAUUCUGAAAUGUUGAUGCAUUUCAGGUGAUAUGUAGACCUUACAAUUUAUCAGACUGGGAUGGCAGCACAACUGGACUAGAUUGUGUGGGAUGGAAUGGAGUCAAGGACACUGGCGUUAAGGACAAAAUAUUGGAUACAAAUCUUUUUGAUGCUUUGAAGAUUCAUGAAUGUUUCCAAAUGUCUGAGAUGUAGGAGGCAUUCAAAUCGGGUUCAGAUUGGCUAUGUAUGAGUUUUAAUUAAAAACCCAAGCAGUUCACUAUUGCAGAUUCUGUACCAGGUCUAAAGGACACAAAGUGCAGGAGUAACUCAGCGGGUCAGGCGUCAUCACUGACGAACAUAGAUAGGCCUAACCUGGCAUUGAUUUAAUGGGCAGUUUCCUCAGAAUAAGUGCUAGAAAAUUUAGCACGGUUGCGGCCGUCAAACAGAGUCCAGCAACAGAUCAAAACUUGGAAAUUGGUGACUGAACCUACCCAGCAGGUUUGGGCGUUUGCAUUCAACAAGGAGUUCUGAACCUGAUGAUGCUUAUAAACUGCAGCCAGCAGUUCCAAGAAAGUUCCUGCCUUGUCCUGGACCUGUUAACGUAAGGUGUUUAGCUUAGUUUGGUUUGGCUGAGAGUAGAGAAACAGGCACUUCACCACACUGAGUCCAGACUGAUUAUCAAUCACACAUUCACACUGGUUCAAUGUUAUCUCAAUUUACCAUCCACUCCCUACACAUUAAGGGCAAGUUUACGGAGUCUAACUAACCCUCAAACCCACACUUCUUUAGGAUGUGGGAAGAAAUCAGUGCACCUGGAGGAAACGCGUAUUCAGAGGGAGACUGUGCAAUCUCCACACAGACAGCACCCGAGGUUGUGGUUGAACCUGGGUCUCCAUCUGCGAAGCAGCAGUUCAACCAGCUGUCCCACUGUGCCACCCUUCAAUAUAUUGA